rnacentral:rRNA from 1 species
UAACACGUGGGUAACCUGCCCUUAAGUGGGGGAUAACAUUUGGAAACAGAUGCUAAUACCGCAUAGAUCCAAGAACCGCAUGGUUCUUGGCUGAAAGAUGGCGUAAGCUAUCGCUUUUGGAUGGACCCGCGGCGUAUUAGCUAGUUGGUGAGGUAAUGGCUCACCAAGGCGAUGAUACGUAGCCGAACUGAGAGGUUGAUCGGCCACAUUGGGACUGAGACACGGCCCAAACUCCUACGGGAGGCAGCAGUAGGGAAUCUUCCACAAUGGACGCAAGUCUGAUGGAGCAACGCCGCGUGAGUGAAGAAGGCUUUCGGGUCGUAAAACUCUGUUGUUGGAGAAGAAUGGUCGGCAGAGUAACUGUUGUCGGCGUGACGGUAUCCAACCAGAAAGCCACGGCUAACUACGUGCCAGCAGCCGCGGUAAUACGUAGGUGGCAAGCGUUAUCCGGAUUUAUUGGGCGUAAAGCGAGCGCAGGCGGUUUUUUAAGUCUGAUGUGAAAGCCCUCGGCUUAACCGAGGAAGCGCAUCGGAAACUGGGAAACUUGAGUGCAGAAGAGGACAGUGGAACUCCAUGUGUAGCGGUGAAAUGCGUAGAUAUAUGGAAGAACACCAGUGGCGAAGGCGGCUGUCUGGUCUGUAACUGACGCUGAGGCUCGAAAGCAUGGGUAGCGAACAGGAUUAGAUACCCUGGUAGUCCAUGCCGUAAACGAUGAAUGCUAGGUGUUGGAG